UUGAUGUCAUUUCUAGUAUGCAAUCAUAUGACAUGUUUCAUGUAAAUUAAUAUGGGCUGCUAUCAAUUUUUUAAUCUGCAAUUGAUCUAGUGUUUUUUAGAUGGUAGCUUAAUAUCCUCCUUCCUUUUCUAAUAUGCAAACUUCUAAUAUGUGAGGUGCAGAAGUGCAUGAGGUGCGGUUCGCCUUAGGCUCCUCCCACUCGUCGACGGUCUGGUCCAGUGUCACUUAACCGUUGUGACCUGGCCGGUUUGGUUCAGCUUUGAGCUGCCCACCGCGGAGUGGGAGGACGGCAUGCUCAUGAACAUCGAGGUCGGAUCAAGUAUGAUGGUGCACCGCGGCAUGUGGUGGCCUAUUUAUUUUGUAGUGGGUUAUGAUGAUAGAAAUAUAUUGACCCUGAUGUGACAAAGAGUCAGGAGUGCUUGGAGAAGGUUGCCAAGACGGUCUCCUUCCUCGCGCAGCCUGAAGGCUCAUUCCUGCUGUUGCUCACAGGUAAUUCAGUUCUGAUGCAUCUGUUCUAAUACUUUUAUGGAGUUAUAUAUAGGGGCUGCUGAUUGUGUGCGUUUACUAGUUAGAUUUUGUUUGCAAUCAAGGGUGAACACUAUGAUCGUAGUAUCAUCUCCAUGACUGGAAAGUUUGUGCCUAUACCAUUGCUUCUUUCCUUCAGGCUUAAACAUUUCGUAUCGC